GCGCUUCUGACGAGUCCCACAAUAGGACGAAACGGUCGUCCAGUGC
rnacentral:hammerhead_ribozyme from 1 species